rnacentral:snRNA from 1 species
UUUUCAGUUUAAUCUCUGAAAGUUUCCGUCCAGGAAACACUUUGAUUAUUCCUAUUUUUCGUACCCGUGACUUGGCCCCUGUGCUUGCGCAUGCCUCGUCGCACAGUGUCAUUGGGCUCACACUACCCCCGAUCGACGCAAACUCCC